UAUUCAAGAAACGAAGCCGAAGGGGUAAUUCUACAAAAUGUCAACCCACUAGAUACAAGAGGUCCACAAAUUGAACUGCUGUUGACUAACCUUGCUUAUGAAGAGGGUUUUGUUUUAGACCCAAACCUUGCAUUUAAAAAAGAGAUUGUAAAAGAGCAUUUAAAACGUAUUGAUCCAAAUAGUUUCAUAGUAGUUAUGUUUUUAUUGCAACCAAGAAGUAAAGGUCAUUUGCGGCUUUCGAGCAAAUCGCCGUUUACUUAUCCUUUAAUAGAUCCACGAUAUCUUUCUCACCCAGAGGAUAUUGAAGACUUUGUUAGAGGCAUUCGAUUGAUGCGUUCGUUAGAAAAAACUGAAGCAUGGAAAUCUAUCAAUGCCACUUUGGUAAGGCAAGAUGUACUCGGACAUUGUAGUGAAGAAAUCUAUGAUUCUGAUAAUUACUGGAGGUGUAUUGGACGACAUUUCCUAAGAACUGGAUAUCACUUUAUAGGUACAUGUAGGAUGGGAUCAGUUGAUGACCCGUCAGUUGUAGUAGAUUCAAGAUUGAGGGUUAUUGGUAUCGAUAAACUAAGAGUGGUUGAUGCAUCCGUUAUGAGAUAUCU